UGGACACCUACAAACCGUCACACGAUAAUAAAAACAGAUCUCGGGGUGUUAUCUUUCACAGUCAUGUGCAAACAGGACAAGGACAGUCUUAAGGAAAGCUGAGGAGAGCUGUUCUCAGAGACGAGUCUAUUCCUCCACAGACUAGUGUUGUGUUUGUACUAAACCCAGAGCAGCCCUGAAUGAAUCGACAGAAUGACCAGCUCAUAUAAUAAUACUAUAGACUGCAUUUAAGAAGCUUUGCACAGGCUGUUUAAUGCUGAUAAUGUACUGUGUGUGUCUUUACAAACUACAUGAUGUAAAUAGCCUAGAAAUGACAAACACAGGAACUCACAGUGAGUCCAGCUGCAAUAUCAUGAUAAACUCAUUGUGAUGUUGUUAUAAUGAUCAUUAAUUUUGAUUAAUAUCAAGUUUUUUGAGGAGACCA